ACAUACUCCGCAGCCAGGAGGCCUGGGUUGUGGCCCCUCUCUCAUCUGCCUGUGCUCAUUUCUCCUCCUGCCAGCAGGGAAGAGGGAGCUCCCCAGGCCUCCAUAAGGGGUCAGAGCCUAGUUCCCCCUCUGUAGGUCCUGCCUCACCUCGGGGAACAGCCGUCUAUCUCUUAAAACCAUUUCCUUUCCUCUUAAUGUCCUCUGUCCCUGCUGGCCAGGGCACCUGUGUUCCCUCCUGGGGAGGCAGAGGCAGCUUUUAAUACCCAUCACACCUGAAUACUUAAAACGCUGGGCAUCUUGCAAAAAUGAGGGACACAGAGCCUUCCACAGGCCCAGGGAGGUUUUGGGAGGGGCGGGUGGCCCUCAGUGUCCACGGAGUGGAGGCCUGGGCACCAGUGGGCAAGGCCAUGGCCUUGUUGGGUGGUGUUUUCCUCUCCUCCUCUCCCUGGACCACCAGCUCACCGCUCAGCCAGCUGGGAAGCAGAAAGUUCAGCUUUCUAUUUCCAGAAAACCCGGCUUGGGGUUCCCAGAUGCCGAGGUCCCCAGCCACUUGCUCCCCACGCUGAGAUCACCCCCUAAAAAGUUAGGCUGCACAGAUGACCUGGCUGGGUGCUUUCAGCUGCCCUGAGUGUGCGCUGUGGCUGUCUCAUGCUGUGUUUUGGGUUAGUUUUACCCCGGUGUAUGAGCUUGGAUUUUUCCAAGAUGAAUCUCAUUGAGCUGUUUCCUGUUCCUACUUCCAGAUGGAAGAAGUCCCCGGGGGUGAUUUUUCAGUCCUCAUGACCUUCGCAAAACCUCCCAGCGGAGCGCCUUCUUUGAAGUUCACUUCAGCGCCGUUGUGCCUCUCCUUGGCCUGUGCAUCCAGGACUCUGCCCUAGCUCUGGGGCCCGCCCCCCGUCGGGUCAUGUCUCCUGCAGGCUGCUUGCCCGCAACGUUCCAGAAAGUGUGUGGUCAGACUGCUGAUGCUGCUGGACUGGAGCUCCUGAGGGCCGCCGGCCCGGAUGCUGUGGCCUCUGGUGCUGGCCCUGGGCCUUCCUGAGCUAUCCACCACACCACUGUGGGUUUGGGUUACCUGGUCUAUCGGUCAGCUCAGGCUGACAUAACAAAAUACCACAGACUGGUCGGCUUAAACAACAGAAACUUACUUCUCACAGUUCUGGAGGCCGGAAGUGUAAGAUCAGGUGCCAGCAGAGUCCGUGUUGGUGAGGGCUCUCUCGUGAGUUACAGACGGGGUCUUGCUGUGUCCUCACACGUCGGCACUAAUCCCAUCCAGGGGGGCGCCACCCUCGUGACCUAAUCACCUCCCAAAGGCCCACCUCCUAACACCAGCGCUUUGGGCGUCAGGAUUCCAACAUGUGAAUUUUGGAGGGACACAGACAGGCUCUAUAGAAGAAAGAGAAUUGGUACUACAGGCACACCUCAGAGAUAUUGUGGGUUUGGUUCCAGACCACCACAAUAAGGCAAAUAUCACAAUAAAGUGAGUCACAUGAAUUUUUUGGUUUCCCAGUGCGUAUAAAAUUUAUGUUUACACUAUACUGUAGUUUAUUAAGUGUGCAAUAGCAUUAUGUCUGAAAACAAUGUAUGUAUCUUAAUAAAAAAAUACUUCAUUGCUAAAAAAAUGCUAACCAUCAUCUGAGCCUUCAGCGAAUCGUAAUCUUUUUGCUGGUGGAGGGUCUUGUAGAAAACGCAGUAUCCGUGAAGUGCAAUAAAGCGAGGUAUGCCUGUAUUGUCAUUUUUCCUAUCUUAGAGAGAAACUGAGGGUUAGAGCUAAAGUACUAUUUCCAAGGUUACAGCACACAGAGGCAUAACUACGAGUUAAACACUGGCUGUCUGACUUCCGAGCAUCCUCGCAACAAUUCAUUCAACAAAAUUGUGUUGUGCGCCAAGCUCUGUUGUAAGUGCGGUGGGUACAGCAUACAAGACAUGCAGAAAUUGCUGCCUUUGUUGCAUUUUGGGGAGGCAAGACAGACAGACAGCAAUCAAACAAGGAGAAUGUCUACUGUGCUAGAUGGUGCAGUCGGGUAGAGUGGGUGUGGUUGCACAAGCCCCUCUCAGCUGUACCCCCGUUUUCAGUGUGCCUCUAAUGCGCUCCCCGGCAAGAGGUGGGGUCUAGUCCCCUCCUCUAAUUCUGGGAUGGCCCUGGGACUUGCACGGACCAACAGAAUGCAGCAGAAGUGACAUUGUGGGCUCUGCGGGCUUGGCUAGAAGAGGGCUUGCGGCUUCCAUUUCUGCGCUCUUGGAAGGCGGCUGCGUGUAAAGAAGCUUGGGCUGGCCUAUGGGUGAUGAGAGGCCACAUGAAGAGAGAACCGAGGCGCCAGAGUGACUCCGGCUUCCUGCUGACGCCAUUGCAUGGGGGACUAGCUGGUGCCACGUGGAGCAGCCAGUUCGCAGAAUCAUGAGGAAUAAUCUAUCACCGCUGGUUUAAACCAUUCAGCUUUGGGGCACUUUGUUACACAGCAGCAGAUGACUGAAGCCAUGUCCAUCCACAAGAAGACAAGAUAGGGACCUGUGUGUCUGGCACAGAGUGAGCAGGGGAGGGGCAGAAAGUGAGGCCCAUCCGCCCCUGAAAGGACUUGGACUUUCCCCCAGAGGAGAGGAGAGGCUGGGUGCAGAGGCCAGACGUGAUCCGGCUCAGCUUUCACAGGCUUCCUGCUGCUGUCUGGAGAGCAGACUGAGGGGCAAGGGAGAGCCAGGAGACCCCUCCGAGAGGCCUCUGCACUCAUCCAGAUGUGACCCAGGGAGCCUGGCUGCAUCACAAUCUCCUGGUCUAUGUGCUUCCAGAACGCCUGGACGAUUAUGUGACAAACUGCGACUUGUUCUCUCUGGGAGGUCGGAUGAUCUGAAAUUCAA